AACGAACGCUGGCGGCAGGCCUAACACAUGCAAGUCGAGCGAAGCCUUCGGGCUUAGCGGCGGACGGGUGAGUAACGCGUGGGAACGUGCCCUUUGGUACGGAAUAGCCCCGGGAAACUGGGAGUAAUACCGUAUGUGGUCGAGAGACGAAAGAUUUAUCGCCAAAGGAUCGGCCCGCGUUGGAUUAGGUAGUUGGUGGGGUAAUGGCCUACCAAACCGACGAUCCAUAGCUGGUUUGAGAGGAUGAUCAGCCACACUGGGACUGAGACACGGCCCAGACUCCUACGGGAGGCAGCAGUGGGGAAUCUUAGACAAUGGGGGAAACCCUGAUCUAGCCAUGCCGCGUGAUCGAUGAAGGCCUUAGGGUUGUAAAGAUCUUUCAGUGGGGAAGAUAAUGACUGUACCCACAGAAGAAGCCCCGGCUAACUCCGUGCCAGCAGCCGCGGUAA
rnacentral:rRNA from 1 species